ACAGAGAGAGAUGGUGAUGGGACAUAGUUCUGCUUAAUUAAUAUUUUCACCUCUGUUAUCUACAUUAUCUGCGAAUGUUAUGGAUGUAUAUCUAAUAUCCCAACGAAUUUCAUAUCUGCGAUUCAAAACCCAUUUCAUAUCUGCGAUUCAAACCAAGCUCAAACACAUGCGAUAGUUCUGCUGUGCGAUUCAAAUCUGCGAUUCAAACCAAGCUCAAACACAUGCGAUAGUUCUGCUGUGCGAUUCAAACCCAUUUCAAAUGCAUGCGAUAGUUGUUGCCCCAAUUUCAGAUCCUCAUCCCCCCUGCGAACUGGCCUGCGACUGUUUGAAACGCAUGCGAUAGUUCUUGCCCCAAUUUCAGAUCCUCAUCCCCCUACGACUGCCCUGCGACUAUUGUCCCCCUACGAGUAAACCCUCUGUCAUGCUGUGAAAAUCAAACACUGAAUCGAUUCAUAGCCGAUUGCGAGCCUCUCUCCUUUUUCGACCGAUUCAAUUUAUAAUAUAUCUAUGUUUCCUUUAUUUCUUGCUGAAGGUAUUAUUUUGCUGAAGGUCCAUUUUUUUCUGCUUAUGACUGAGUAUAGCUUAGUUCUUGUUAAUUGCUGAUGAUACAUUAUGCCCAGUUAGAGGGAUGGCUGAGUAUAGCUUAGUGCUUGCUCUAUAAAACUGUUAGUUGAAUUGUGAGUAUUUCUUUUGAAUCCAAUGUAAAAUUGAGUGAUUGACUGGGAUGUACUAUAUUAUCUCAUUCUCUUGCCUUUUGUUGUAGUAAAUUAGCCCACAACAAACUCUCUUACCCUUUACCAGACUUGGCUGGAAUGGACUCCCUCAAUUAUGU
rnacentral:lncRNA from 1 species